GCGCAGCUAGCUCAACUGGCAGAGCACCCGACUCCAACUCGGGAGGUUCGAGGUUCGAUCCCUCGGCGGCGUGCCA
rnacentral:tRNA from 1 species